rnacentral:lncRNA from 1 species
AUUUUGCUAGUAAAAGGUAAUUUUUAUUAGGGUAUUAUUUUUCGGGGUGUUUUAUUUUUGAGUUGGGUUGAUAUAAGCUUGGACCGGUUUGGGGUGUGAGGCCCAAACCCAUUUUCUCUCCUCUCUUUUUCUUCCCGGUUCCCCUUUUCCCCGAGUCUCUCGCUGCCCGGUUUUCCGGCUGUCUUUUCGCCGCCGUCCGGCCACCGUAGGCCACCACUCCGGUCUCGUUCAGUUGCCCUCUGACCCAGCUUCCUUUCUAGGCCGGUGAGGGCUGCCCUAGCUCCGCCGUGAAGGAGUUCUUUCCCCCGAAAGCGGCGAUUGCAGUGGUGGUUCCAUCGUUGGAACUCCCUCCUCCGGCCACCAAUCCGGGCAAGCCAUAUACGGUUUUGUAGGUCUCCUACCCAGCUGCCAUGCCCUAAAAGGACUCACUCUGGUUCGCUUCAGGUGAGGAGAAAUGUGGAGUUGAAAUUUCUAGGGCUUUUUGAUGUUUUUGUUCGAUUGGCAUAGCUAGGGUUCGAUUUUGGGUUUGUGCUAGUUAAGAAAGUUGUAGAGCAUGAUGAGAGGAUUAUUCUGUCAAAAUUUCAUAGGAAUUGGAGGUCGCCGGAAUCGGCCUUCGGCCGCCGCUGCCGGCGGAGCCGCCGCUGUUUGGGAGAUUUUUAGGGUUUUAAAUGUGGAAUAUUAAGGGGAGUAUAUUGAUGUGAGUUAUGGAAUUUUUGGAUGAGUUUUAGAUAGGUUUGUGAAUUUCUGAAGUUUGGUAUUUUUGGCGGUUAAUUAAUGUAGAAUCCGGCCGUAGGAUUUAAGUCAAUUUCUGGGGGAGGUUGUAUUUACGGCUGCCGAGUAUGGUAUUAAAGUUUGGGUCGUUUCGAGUGAAGAAUUUCGAAGUUAGGCAAUGAUGAGCGGGUUUAUGGCUCUCGGUUAAUUUUGCCUAUUUUAUUUAAAUAUUGGAUUUUUAGUUGGGAAUUUAAUUUUAUAUUUGUGCCAGGGUUUGAGGAAACCUCACUGGAGUGGCGAUUUGGAUUUCGUCAGGCUUAUGCCUAGAGUUGUGAGUGGACUUUUAUUUUAAAUAAUAUGCAUGCUAUGGUUUUGGUUGAGCAUUUAAAAUUGUUGGAGUUUUGACGUCAUUUAAUUUUGACGCUUUUAUUUCUCUUGGAGAGUUACCGAAAAAAUAGGAUUUUUCGGUGAGUAUAAAUAUGUAUAUUGAGGAGAGUAUGUAUAUAAAUGCUAGCUAGCCAUAUGUGUCUGUCCACCUUAAUGGCGUAGCAUAUAGCCUCAUUAUGCUGUGACGUGAGCUUUGGACGUGAGCGUAGUAGCCAUAUAUGAGUGCUUAAUUCAUAUAGGGGGUAUGGACACAUAUUUAAACACCCGUCUGUCCACCUUAAUGGCGUAGUGUAGCACCGCAUUAAGGCGUGACGUAAGCGUUGGACAUGAGCAUAGUAGCCCUAUAUAGACCUAUGAAUUUAUAUAGGGAGUAUGGACAUGUGUAAAUACAUACAUAUAUUUUAGCCUGAGAGGCUCUAUUUUAUAAAUCUUUGGAGACUAGCCGGAGCUAGCCGUGUUAUUGUCAGUUUAUGAGUUGAGAGCUUUUGAGAUUGUUGGAUGCAGCAUAAUUUCUUUCGAAAAUAAAUGGGAAUGCAUAAAUAUUUUUAAUAAAUUCAUUUGUGUCCACUCACUCUAACUGUUUCCAAUGUUUUCCCCUAGGCUCUUGGUUUUAAAAUGCUCAGUUGCAGGUUAGCAUAGUUGAGGCCGAGCGUACAUGGAGAAGAGGCAUAGUCAAUAGUAUAGCUUCCGCUCAUUUCUUUUUAUUUCUAGUUCCUCUCCUCUCAAGUAGAGUUGCUCUGAAUAUUUGGUUGUUGGUUUUAGGAUCUUUGUUAGAUUAGUAAAUCUUUAUUGGGAGAUGUUGUGAUUUGUGGGGACCACGAAGGCUCCAGGAGUUUAAAAGGUUGGAGUUGGAACUUUUAGAAGUGCUUGCAGGUGGUUUUCUUAGGAAGGGUUGUCCAUUUUCAAGGGAGGUUAUGCCGAUUUUUCGGUAAAUUUUCCUUGGAGGUGGUCCCUGCGGGAUUUACUUCGGGUUUCAGGGUGAAAUUCGGGGUGUGUCCUAACAGUUGGUAUCAGAGCACUAGGUUAUUCGUUUCCUUUCUCUUCUUAGUACUACCUCAUAUUCUUGGUCAUGCUUAGUGUCUAUAGAGUGAUGGUCCGACCGUGGCAAAUCUAUUAGCAUUAUAUGCUUUAGACACUAUGUGUUGAUUAGGUUUGUGAUGUAGUUGUUCUUCUUUUAUUUAUGGAUAGUAGUGUGUCAUAAAUGUCUACAUCUCUAAGACUAUGCCUCCGUACGCCGACCUCUUGAGUGUUCGUCAUUUGAGUUUUGAAAAGGUGUAUAGUUUGCACUUAUUCCAAGGUUCAUUAAUUUAAUAUGUUUGAUAUUAAUUGUUGGAGUUGUUUUGCGAGUGGGGAACGAAAAAGCUUGUUAGCAUUCCUUUCAGGUAUCCAAUGAUUGAUUAGGUUAAGAUUAAGGUUACAUAUUAAGAUGCUUUGGUGAGCAUCUUGUGCAAAUUUGUUGGGUGAAAUGUUGAUGAUUAAUGCCUUGGAGUUGUCCAUUUUUAGUGGGCAAGAUUGGAGUAAAAAAAAAAAAAAAUUUUGAUUGAGGGGAGAUUUUGGUAUUGAGUUACAUGACUUUUGAGAGAGUCGAGUUGGAAGGAAAGUUUGAAGUAGUGGUGUAUUCUUCUCAUGUAAAAGUUAGUUGAAAUGAUGAGGUGAGGUAUCCAAUGGUAAUUCAAAGGGGUACCUAUAUGAGUUGUUGAGGACCCUAGUCUUGGAUUAAAUAAGGUUUUAGGGAAUUUGUGGCUAGUAAUUGGGUGGUAAGGCAUUGCUGCAUAAAGUCCUAAAUGUCAAUUUAAAUAAGUCAUGAUUGAAGGCCAAUUUGCCGACUAUGUUUAUCCGCAGUAGAAAGCAGUUGGGAACAUUUUGGAAUAAGGCUGGUUAUGUCAGCACAUAUUCUGGUUCCUACAACUCUAAUUAUGGAUAAGUUUUUAUCUUUUGAGCAAUUUAUUAAGAUGGUGGUGGUAAUAUCUUUUGGAAAUGACGGAUAAUAAUAGUCGAUGAAUAGUAAGAUUUCUGAUGAUUUUGGUCUCUAUUGUGGGUUAGUUGAAGUUUGUUAAAGCACAAAGUGUAAUGGCUUGGAUUGCUUUUCCUUGGGUUAGUUUUUCAAAAGUCAUUGGUCAGUGCGUUGUGACAACUUCUUGUUGUGCCGCAGUCGGGGAAUUUUAGAAAUUGAUUGGUGGCACUAAAUGUUUUGAGUUUCAAGCAAGUUUGGAAUCGUGGAGUGAGAUGUCAGUUAUAUUAUUUUAAUUGUGGGGCCAUUAUGGUUUCUUUCAGAAUUCCAGGUGUUGAAGUUUGGUUUCCAGAUUUGUUGAGUGUUUGGGAAGAUGAUAAUGUAAUGGAAUUGAAAAGUAAUGGUGGAGUGAGAGCGGGAUGGUUGUGGUCACUCCAGUUUUAUGACAACACCUGGUGAAUUUAUUACGUGUUGUCAUAGGUAAUCUAUAGCAGUUGUGUGGAGUUGGUGGAAGUGGUAGCAGUGGAAUAAAAACCCACUGGAUCAUAGAGCAAGAGUGCGUGGGUGUCCAAAGUAAUUUUUAAGCACUGUCAUUCCGGGCGGUUGAUUUAAGUCUUGACUUUGUGAUCGAAGUUGGUUAUUGACAUCACUUCGUUCGCAAUGGGUGACUAACUACGACACAACAAUGGGAGGAUCUGUUCUCACCUUAUUUCUAAUUCGGUGAGAUGGAGUAAAGUUUUGGUUUUGGUGUGUGUGGGAAUAUUUAAAUUAUUCCUACUGUAAUUUUUGGGUAGCAUCCUCAGAGCUUGAAAUUAUGGAAUGCGAAUUCAACGUUUCAAUUUGAAGGGUAGAGAUUCUGGUUAUUUUGUUGAAGUUUCGAGGUAAAUGAUAAAUUGGUAGUUGUGUCGUAGUCAUGGAUCCAGAAUAAAUCUAGUGGUGAUCCCAGGUGAGCUGGAGUUCAUUUAAGCAAUGAAUCUUGGUGCCGUAAAUCCUAUGUGGUAAUUUGAAAGUUGCAUGGUGAUGUUGAUUUGUUGGUUUGUGUCGUUAUAGGUUUAUUUCCUGAUGUAGCUUUAUGGAAGAAGGUUUUCCCUUGUUGACUCAAGAAGCUUUUCGAGUCAAAGUUUAUUAAGAGAUUUAAUAUGGCGAAUAGUAGAUUUAUGGAUAAAUUGAUAAACGUCUCUUCUCGUGAUCGUAUUGUGGUGGGACCACUCAUUGAUCCAAGUUUGAUUUGGGAGGUCUUCGUUAUUUAGUUGUGCGAUCAUCCGUUGGUGUCAGGAUGAUUAGUGGAGGUUUCUAGUGCGAUUUCGAAGCGGGUUUUGGCGGAUAUCGGAGAUUUGUGGAGCUUUUGAGCUCGAAAUUAGAGGACUUGCCUUUCGUGUGCUUUAAGUCAUUUCUUCUGGAACUUGAGCUGAGUUUUAGCCAUGAGUUUUUAUUCUUGCUUGAAUUCAUAGUUUUCGUUGGAUGAUGAAUCACAAAGUGUAGUAGUGGGCCUGAUAUGGAAAUUAAUUUUUUAUAUUCGAUGAUUAAUCUUGAUGCUACGAGCUCGAUUUAUCGGAGAAUCUUUUUGGUGGGAAGCCGUGGCCCUGGGAGGCGUAGGAGACUUGAGCAUAUCUGAUUUUCAGAUCGUUUUCUGCUAUCGGAUUAAUUAUUAUUGGAGGUAGAAAAGAAGUGUGUUUGUCGAGUUUAAAGGUUUUGAUAUUUAGAAUCAUUCUUAUGGAACGGCUAGAGUGAGCCGUGUGCUUUUAAUUAUUGAAUUCGGGGUCGCGGUUGUACCCGAAUAAGUAGCAUGGCUGAAGAUGUAAAUUUUUGUCAAUGCUUAAGGAAGGUGUUCUAUUUAUGUGGAUUUCAACGUCAAGUUGGGCAUAAUUAGUUAGUUUUUGCUUAUGGCGAGCAAUGAGGAUUAUCCAGUUUCCACAUGUUAGUCAUGUUUCAAAUUAUCUUCUGGUUUGUGGUAAAGAGAAUAAUGGAGAUAGCAGAAUCAGGAGAGAGUUGGAAAUUCCCCAUAAGCUGCUAGUUUGUGGUGCUCAAAAUGGUAUUGUAAUAGUUUUGGUGGAGAGACCUAAGUGUAGUAGUAUUGAGCUUUUCAUAAUGUCAUUUCGAGAUUCGAGGUUUUCAUAUGUUGGUGGACUGGUCACUUAGGCAGAGCAAGGUUGGCUUGUGGACUUACGAGAGCUUUGACUCCGUGAAAGACUUUGCGAAGUGUCUCGGUACUUGAAGUGAUUGUUGCAGUUCUGCAGUGUGUGCAUCCUUAAAAAUCUGUUCAAUUAGCGGGUCUUAAUUUUGACCCCUAUGAACAUGUGGGAAUGUGUGAACUUUAGUUUCCUAGCAAGUGGGCUUCUUUGUCGAGCUGUGAGCAGCGUAAUGACGAGGUUGUUGCGUGACGUUAAGAGAUUUGAGCCUGAUGGUGAUAGCAAAUUUAUGUGCUUUAUUUGAGUUAGCUAUUUCCAUUGCUCUAGAAAGAGUGGGCAUACUUACGGGUACUCAUACUCUGGAGCAAGUAUCACUGAACCCAUUUACGUGUAAACGUUAGUGGUAGUUCAACGAAGGAUUUAGAGUCUUUGAUAAGAUUUAAAAUAAUUCAGGAUUAAAAUAAAAAAGGUUAAAGGAGUCCGAGAUACACUCAAAGCAGCUCGUAGUAGCCAAAAGAGUUAUAAAGAUGUCCGCAGGAAGGACCAUGAGUUUCAAGUGAGUAUUUGGGGUGUUUUUCGAAAUUGUCUCCUUGGAAAGGGGUGGUACGUUUUGGUGACGUGAAAAGCUUGGUCCGAGAUUUAUUGGUCCUUCUGGGUUUUAAGAUCAAGUUGGCUCUCUUGUGUAUUGAUUAGUUUCACCUCCGGAGUUAUCCAAGAUACAUAAUGUGUUUCAGGUAUCCAUGCUUCGCAAGUUUAUUGCCGAUUUCUCUCAUGUGUUGCAAGAGCAGCCGAUUAAUUGGAAAAAGUUUUGACCUAUCAUGACGAGCCGAUUCAGAUUCUGGACCCAAAGGAGCAAGUGCUUAGAAGCAAAUCAUUUACUCUUGUUAAAGUUCUAUGGAGGAGUCAUCAAGUAGAGGAAACUACUUGGGAAUCAGAGGAGCAAAUGAUGCAGCAAUAUCCCUAUCUCUUCAAAUGUCAGGUAUGUAAAUUUCGAGGACGAAAUUUUAUAAGGAGAGGAGAAUUGUCACAUCCCGACCCUUAUAUUUUACCUUAUUUACUAGGUUGGUUAUAAUAAGAAUUUUACUGUCUCCGUCAUUGAGGUAAUAGUUUAAUUGGUCCCUAGAGGGGUUUCGGGGACGAUUAUAUGCGGAGGAUUAUUCGUUGGAGAAAAUUAUGACGAGGGUAAAAAUGGUAAAAUUUUUGCUAGUAAAAGGUAAUUUUUAUUAGGGUAUUAUUUUUCGGGGUGUUUUAUUUUUUGAGUUGGGUUGAUAUAAGCUUGGACCGGUUUGGGGUGUGAGGCCCAAACCCAUUUUCUCUCCUCUCUUUUUCUUCCUGGUUCCCCUCUUCCCCGAGUCUCUCGCUGCCCGGUUUUCCUGCUGUCUUUCCGCCGCCGUCCGGCCACCAUAGGCCGCCACUCUGGUCUCGUUCAGUUGCCCUCUGACCCAGCUUCCUUUCUAGGCUGGUGAAGGCUGCCCUAGCUCCGCCGUGAAGGAGUUCUUUCCCCCGAAAGCGGCGACUGCCGUGGUGGUUCCAUCGUUGGAACUCCCUCCUCCGGCCACCAAUCCGGGCAAGCGAUAUACGGUUUUGUAGGUCUCCUACCCAGCUGCCUUGCCCUAAAAGGACUCACUCUGGUUCGCUUCAGGUGAGGAGAAAUGUGGAGUUGAAAUUUCUAGGGCUUUUUGAUGUUUUUGUUCUAUUGGAAUAGCUAGGUUUGGAUUUUGGGUUUGUGCUAGUUAGGAAAGUUGUAGAGCAUGAUGAGAGGAUUAUUCUGUCAAAGUUUGGUAUUUUUGGAGGUUAAUUAUUGUAGAAUCCGGCCGUAUGAUUUAAGUCAAUUUCUGGGGGAGGUUGUAUUUACGGCUGCCGAGUAUGGUAUUAAAGUUUGGGUCGUUUCGAGUGAAGAAUUUCAAAGUUAGGCAAUGAUGAGCGGGUUUAUGGCUCUCGGUUAAUUUUGCCUAUUUUAUUUAAAUAUUGGAUUUUUAGUUGAGAAUUUAAUUUUAUAUUUGUUCCAGGGUUCGAGGAAACCUCACUGGAGUGGCGAUUUGGAUUUCGUCAGGCUUAUGCCUAGAGUUGUGAGUGGACUUUUAUUUUAAAUAAUAUGCAUGUUAUGGUUUUGGUUGAGCAUUUAAAAUUGUUGGAGUUUUGAUGUCAUUUAAUUUUGACGCUUUUAUUUCUCUUGGAGAGUUACCGAAAAAUGAGAUUUUUCGGUGAGUAUAAAUAUGUAUAUUGAGGAGACUAUGUAUAUAAAUGCUAGCUAGCCAUAUGUGUCUGUCCACCUUAAUGGCGUAGCAUAUAGCCGCAUUAUGCUAUGACGUGAGUGUUGGACGUGAGCGUAGUAGCCCUAUAUGAGUGCUUAAUUCAUAUAGGGGGUAUGGACACAUAUUUAAACACCCGUCUGUCCACCUUAAUGGCGUAGUGUAGCAUCGCAUUAAGGCGUGAUGUGAGCGUUGGACGCGAGCGUAGUAGCCCUGUAUAGACCCAUGAAUUUAUAUAGGGAGUAUGGACGUGUGUAAAUACAUACAUAUAUUUUAGCCUGAGAGGCUCUAUUUUAUAAAGCUUUGAAGACUAGCCGGAGCUAGUCGUGUUAUUGUCAGUUUAUGAGUUGAGAGCUUUUGAGCUUGUUGGAUGCAGCCUAAUUUCUUUCGAAAAUAAAUGGGAAUGCAUAAAUAUUUUUAAUAAAUUCAUUUGUGUCCACUCACUCUAACGGUUUCCAAUGUUUUCCCCUAGGCUCUUCGUUUUAAAAUGCCCAGUUGCAGGUUAGCAUAGUUGAGGCCGAGCGUACAUGGAGAAGAGGCAUAGUCAAUAGUAUAGCUUCCGCUCAUUUCUUUUUAUUUCUAGUUCCUCUCCUCUCAAGUUGCUCUGAAUAUUUGGUUGUUGGUUUUAGGAUCUUUGUUAGAUUAGUAAAUCUUUAUUGGGAGAUGUUGUGAUUUGUGGGGAGCACGAAGGCUCCAGGAGUUUAAAAGGUUGGAGUUGGAACUUUUAGAAGUGCUUGCAGGUGUUUUUCUUAGGAAGGGUUGUCUAUUUUCAAGGGAGGUUAUGCCGAUUUUUCGAUAAAUUUUCCUUAGAGGUGGUCCCCGCAGGAUUUACUUCGGGUUUCAGGGUGAAAUUCGGGGUGGGUCCUGACAUUACUUGUCUGACCCACAGUAUCUAUUAUUUUCAAGACCAAAAUCCCUUCUAGCUUAUAGUAUAACAGCCUCCCCGCAGAUUUCAAAUUUCUGUUUCAAAGAGAGAGAAAGCUACAGAGCGAGAGAGAUCGAUCGAGCGAGCGAGAGAGAGAGAGAUCAAGCGAGCGAGCGACAGCGCGGUUGUCGUCGACGUUUUCUGACGAAUAUCCGGCGAGAUCGAUCAGGAUCGCUUAGUUGAUGGAGCGAGAUCGAUCUUUAGUUUGCUCGUUACUUCCUUCUCGGUUUGUUUCUCCUUUCUUCUUCUUUCGUUCUAUUUGUUUUGAAUUUAGUUGGAUUUAGAUUUAUUUUCGUUUUUGUUUUGGUGAAGCUGUUUGUUUUGAAUCCUUUUUGUUCUAUCUGCUAGGUUGUAGUCUGUUGUUAGGUUUUACUAGUUGUCAAUAAUUGUUGAUUAUUUGUGUUUGCUGAACUUUGUUGAUCUUCCCUUUUGCACAGCAUCUGUUUUGAAAUAUUUCUGGAAAUUAUGAUAUGGUUACUAGGGGUCGGUAACUAGUUUGGGUGGUCAAUAAUUAUGUUUGAACUGUGUUUUGGUGUGAGUAAUUGUUGUUUUAUUGUGCUUUAUUUGUUUUUCAAGCAUCAUGUUUCAGUUUUCAAGCUGUCUAGUAGUUGUGACCUAAGUUAUUGGGGGUUAAUAACUGGUUUAUUUUGUUUGUUUAUAUUUAGGAAUGUUGGUG